CCCUUAGAUGUUCGGGGCUGCACCUGCGCUACACUGAAGGAAUCAACGUGUAUUUGCCCUUGCCCGAAAGGGUUGGGUAACCCGUUGAACCUCCUUCGUGCUAGGGAUUGGGGCUUGUAAUUAUUCCCCAUGAACGAGGAAUUCCCAGUAAGCGCGAGUCAUAAGCUCGCGUUGAUUACGUCCCUGCCCUUUGUACACACCGCCCGUCGCUACUACCGAUUGAAUGGUUUAGUGAGAUCCUCGGAUUGGUCCCGCCACGGGAGGAAACUUUCGAGGCGGAGUGCCGAGAAGACGAUCAAACUUGAUCAUUUAGAGGAAGUAAAAGUCGUAACA
rnacentral:rRNA from 1 species